rnacentral:misc_RNA from 1 species
GAUGAAGAACGUAGCGAAAUGCGAUAAGUAGUGUGAAUUGCAGAAUUCAGUGAAUCAUCGAAUCUUUGAACGCACAUUGCGCCCCUUGGUAUUCCAUGGGGCAUGCCUGUUCGAGCGUCAUUUGUACCUUCAAGCUCUGCUUGGUGUUGGGUGUUUGUCUCGCCUCUGCGCGCAGACUCGCCUCAAAACGAUUGGCAGCCGGCGUAUUGAUUUCGGAGCGCAGUACAUCUCGCGCUUUGACAACAAAACGACGACGUCCAAAAAGUACAUUUUUUACACUCUUGACCUCGGAUCAGGUAGGGAUACCCGCUGACCUUAAGCAUAUCAAUAAGCGGAGGA